ACCAAUUCCGGGGGAUUAUCUGUUCCUCCUGGUAUAAUGGCUCGGGCGCCAUAUUGAGUUUGUGUGGUCAUCCUGAUUGGUGGCUUAAUUGCGUGCCAUUAAAUCCUGGAAACGCCAUUCAUAUUA